AACGUAGGUGGCGAACGUUAUCCGGAUUCACUGGGCGUAAAGAGUGCGCAGGCGGCCUUUCAAGUCGGAUGUAAAAUCUCCCGGCUCAACCGGGAGGGACCACCCGAUACUGUCUGGCUAGAGUGCAACAGAGGAGAGUGGAAUUCCCGGUGUAGUGGUGGAAUGCGUAGAUAUCGGGAGGAACACCAGUGGCGAAAGCGGCUCUCUGGGUUGUAACUGACGCUGAUGCACGAAAGCGUGGGGAG
rnacentral:rRNA from 1 species